UUUAUUAUCCUGGUUCUUCACAUCCAUCUGAAGCCCCACAAAAGGUUUCCUGGUAGGUGUCUAGACCUGGAGUCCUAAGAAUGAAGAUUCUCAUCUGAGAUUCCACUGCUCUGAGGAUAAACAUUCCUUCCUGUGGGUGUUGCCCUACUUGGGUUUUCCUCUGAAAGAUAUACGUCACCAUGUCCCACAGUGAUUUGCCAAUUCUCCUUCGCAGUUCCUCUUUCCUAGCACAUCCAACAUUAGUAGCCCUAUUUAUAAUUGAAUUCCUAUAAUUACAAGCAGUAAAUUUAUUUUCUGUUUGCCAGUGGAGUUUUUUUUUUCUUACAGAUAUUUGCAAGGCAGUCACUUUCAUCAGACCUGUAAAGUCACCAUCAAAUCAAAUGCCUGUGAUAUGGAUGAUCCAAAUGUAGAACAAAAGAGAGCAGAAGUCUACCACUGCAAACUGAGAUUUCGUUUUACCUUUUAAAUUUUGAUUGCAGGUAACGGGACACUGAUUGGAGCAUCAGCCAAUGUUGUUUGUGCAGGAAUUGCAGAGCAGCAUGGAUAUGGAUUCUCUUUCAUGGAAUUUUUCAGGUACUUUAAAAACUUAUUUAAAAUUUCUGUUUAUAUGGAGUUCCCUUUGUGGCACAACAGAGACGAAUCUGACUGGUAGCCAUGAGGUUGUGGGUUUGAUCCCUGGCCUCAUUCAGUGGGUUAAGGAUCCAGCAUUGCCCUGAGCUGUGGUGUAGGUCACAGAUGCGGCUCAGAUCUGGUGUUGCUGUGGCUGUGGCAUAGGCCAACAGCUGUAGCUCUGAUUUGACCCAUAGCCUGGGACCCUCCAUAUGCCAUGGGUGCGGCCCUAAAAAGACAAAAAAAAAAUUCUCUUUAUGUAGUUCCUAAGCUUACUCAAUGAAAAAAGUCAGCCACACAUACUAUUAAGCACUAAGGUAAGAAAGUUUUAGUAAUUAUAGAGAUGUUGGUAUUUUAUGUUGUUCUCUUAAAAAUUCCAAUGGGACUUGUGUCUUGGCUGUCCAUGAUGCAGGUACAUAGUAAAAGUCUGGUAUCCCUCUACUGGAUUGCCAAGCAGAAAAGCUCAUGAUUGGAAGGACCCAGGAAUGUUGCAAAUUAGGGGCAACCUGGGAACAGGCACCUCUCAGGAGAGGAGGCCUUGGGUGGGGUUGUGCAGCUGUUGCCAGCUCCUACAAAGGAGGACCUGCUCUGGGAUCCUGGCCCCUGCAUGCUUGUUUUCAUUUGGCACCAUUGCACUUUAGAUGCAGGGACUGGGACAGCAUAGACACUGGUGGUGCUUGUAAAAUGGUGCUGCCAAUAUGAAAGAAAUUCACUUGGCAUUAAAUAAGGUUUCUGUUGAAGUUCUUGGGCUGGCAACUCAAAUCUGGUACAUGCAUAGAGAUGGCUAUGAGAACCAGCCCCACUAAAGAUUUAUAACAGCAGCUCACCUACAGCCAUGAGGCAGUGCUCCCUGCCCUGGGACCUCUGCUUCUGCAAGGUACUGCUCGACUGGGCUGAACUUAGGGGGAGAACCAUGGCCAUCAUGCUCAAGUAAGGACCAACACUGGGCCCUAUGUAUAAUAGAACACUGACUUUUGACAGACUUUAGCAUAUAGACCAUGUUUAUUCAUGAACAACUUGUAAUACUUGGCAGUUUUGCUAAGACAUUAAUUUGAAUGACACUCUUGGGAGACUUGGGUGUGGGAGGGAGAUACUAAGCUGGAGAGUGGGCCAUGGGGACCCUUCACAUGCCUCCCUCAGCAGGACUUUGGGCACAUUGUUGACCUUGCUGCUGAGGGACAGUAUCUGAAACUUAGCUGUUGACUGACUUCUUCCCAUCUAGACUCUUAAAUGCCUGUGAUAAAUAUAUUUUAAAAAUCACAAUGAGAUCCUGCUGUGUAGCACUGGGAACUAUAUCUAGUCACUUGCGAUGGAGCAUGAUAUUGUGAGAAAAAGAAUGUAUACAUGUAUGUGUAACUGGGUGAUCAUGCUGUACAGUAGAAAAAAAACAAUGUAUUGGCGAAAUUUUUUUAAAAAUUUAAAAAUUUUUAAAAAUCCUGUCACUUGAACAAGAUUCUCUCAAUGAGAAUAGCAUUCAUUACAGCAAAUGUAGUGGAGGCCUUAGCAAAAUGAGGCACCUCACACUAUCAUCAUCCAGCCUGUGCUCCAAAGUCAGUGAAGGCCCAGCCCCGGAGCAUAGCCAAGAAAAGGAAUUUAGAGGAGUUACCAUUGUAGCUCACCAGGUUGGGGACCCGACAUCAUCUCUGUGAGGAUGUAGGUUUGAUCCCUGACCUUGUUCAGUGGAUUGAGGAUCCAGCAUUGCCACAAGGUACAGUGUAGAUCACAGAUGUGGCUCAGAUCUGGUGUUGCUGUGCUGGAUAAUAGGCCCCAGCUGCAGCUCUGAUUCAGCCCCUGACCUGGGAAUUUCCAUGUGCCACAGGUGCAGCCCUGAAAGAAAGAAAGAAAGAAAGAAAGAAA
ensembl:lncRNA